rnacentral:rRNA from 1 species
CGGUUUAGUAAAUUUCUUGUGAAAUUACCCAGCCUAACUGGGUAGCGUGCAGGAAAGACUGCUAAGCUAGGGACCGGGAGGAGUGUGAGGUAUUCCUUGGGGAGCGGUAAAAUGUUAUAAUCCUUGGAAGACCACCUGUGGCGAAGGCGUCACACUAGAACGGAUCCGACGGUGAGGGACGAAAGCUAAGGGAGCGAUCCGGAUUAGAUACCCGAGUAGUCUUAGCUGUAAACGCUGCGAACUAGGUGUUGCACAUUCCACGAGAAUGUGCAGUAUCGGAGCGAAGGUGUUAAGUUCGCCGCCUGGGGA